rnacentral:lncRNA from 1 species
GUUUAGGGUUUUUUAGGUUUUAGGGUUUUUUAAGGUUUAGGGUUUAGCGUUUUUAAGGGUUUAUGGUAUUUUAGGGUUUAGGAUUUUUUAGGGUAUAAGGUUUUGAGGGUUUAAGGUUUACGGUUUAGGGUUUUUUAGGGUUUAGGGUUUCGGGAUUUUUAGGGUUUAGGGUGUAGGAUUUAGGGACAACGUUUUUUAGGGUUUAGGGUGUAGGGUUUUUUUAGGUUUUAGGGUUUUUU